CCGGGUGGCUCAAGACAUCAUGUUCAAUACUUGGCCGAGUAAAUCUGAUAGCUAUUAACAAUGACUGGUUCAAGGCUGAAAAAUUGUUACCAACUCAUCAUGCAAUGGAUUUUUCGUUUGUAUUCUCAAAAGUUAUUAGUUGAGUCUUGUCUAAUCUUGUCUAGGAAGUCAAGCUUUUUUUUUUUUUUAAAGCAUGUCGAAUCGUUUAGUGUAUAGGCAUUUUUUUAUAAGGAAGUCAAGCAUGUCGAAUUGUUUAGUGUAUAGAGUCAUUUCUAUUCAUAUGGAGAUUGUUGAAACUUGUUUUUGAUGAAAUAGAAUAACCGAAUGUUUGGCACUAUAAAAUAGUGUAACCAC
rnacentral:lncRNA from 1 species